AUCAUGGCUCAGAUUGAACGCUGGCGGCAUGCCUUACACAUGCAAGUCGAACGGCAGCACGGGAGCAAUCCUGGUGGCGAGUGGCGAACGGGUGAGUAAUAUAUCGGAACGUGCCCAGUCGUGGGGGAUAACUACUCGAAAGAGUGGCUAAUACCGCAUACGAUCUACGGAUGAAAGCGGGGGACCUUAGGGCCUCGCGCGAUUGGAGCGGCCGAUAUCAGAUUAGGUAGUUGGUAGGGUAAAAGCCUACCAAGCCUGCGAUCUGUAGCUGGUCUGAGAGGACGACCAGCCACACUGGAACUGAGACACGGUCCAGACUCCUACGGGAGGCAGCAGUGGGGAAUUUUGGACAAUGGGCGAAAGCCUGAUCCAGCAAUGCCGCGUGCAGGACGAAGGCCUUCGGGUUGUAAACUGCUUUUGUACGGAACGAAAAGGUAGCUCCUAAUACGAGCUGCCGAUGACGGUACCGUAAGAAUAAGCACCGGCUAACUACGUG
rnacentral:rRNA from 1 species